CAGGGAAGCAGAAGGGUUACUUGGCUGGGGGUGGACCCGUGGGUCCCACGGGAGGGUUUGUAUACUACAAGCAGGGCCCUCCUGCCAGGGUCCCCGUUGGGUCCCAGUCGUGCCCUUCCCUGCCCAGCCCUGUCCUGGCAGUGGCUGAUGGGGAAAACGUGGGGUCUUUCCAUUCUCCUUCAGAAUGGAAAUGACCUCUGCUUUGCCUCCCAGCCCGCUCGUGCUUUGCCUCCUGUCUCUUCACAGCGGUUAUCAAUGUGAGCCAUGAUGCACGACUGAUCACGCAGACCAGCUGCCAGCUCUGGGUGGUGGAGGAGCAGUCCAUCAGCCAGAUCAACGGUGACUUCGACUGCAAACGGGAGGUGCUGGAGGCCUCGGGCCAGAGCUGUUCUUCUACACCUGCUGCUUUCCCAGGAGAGAGAGACUUAAUUUAUAUGAAUGGGAGGAGGGUUGUACUGGAAUGGUCUAUUUUAGGCAGGAGUGAGGGCUGUCCUUGUCCCAUUGCUGGGUUCCUUGCCCCCCAGUCUGGAGAAUGACGUGAGCCUUGUUUUGCAUCCACCCAAGAAGAUUAUAUUAAAAUAUAAUAAAGGAAAA